UUUCAUCUCUGUUAGUUGAAUACACACAUCACAAACAAGUUUCUGAGAAUGCUUCUGUCUAGUUUUUAUGGGAAGAUAUUUCCUUUUUCAACAUAGGCCUCAAAGCGCUCCAAACGUCCACUUCCAGGUAGUGCAGAAAGAGUGUCUCAAACCUGGUAUAUAACAGGGAACAUUCUACUCUGUGACUUGAAUGAAAACAUCACAAAGCAGUUUCUGAGAAUGCUUCCGUCUAGAUUUUA
rnacentral:lncRNA from 1 species